rnacentral:tRNA from 1 species
UCCCUGGAGGACUAGUGGUUAGGCCACAGCGCUCUGAGCGCUGUGGCUCGGGUUAGAUUCCCGGCCAGAGAA